UUCGCACCUGCCGGGGUUCGAACCGGCAACCUUACUAUUAGUUGAUAGCGCCGCUAAGCGCUCAGCCACGAGGCCAUAUUUGACAAAAAAAAGUUUCAGAUGACAUAUAUGGUCGUGCCGCCGGCCCCGGAACGAGCGUGAGCGAUGCGGCAGCCGGCCCCGGAACGAGCGUAAGCGGUGCGGCAGUUGCAGGAAGGUAGUUGCUGUCGCUAGACUCUUCUCUAAUACAAGAUCCCGUUCACAUACAAGCAUAGGGGGCCCUGUGGGUCCUUAACCCAGUCAGCUGCGUGUGGGACCCCCUAAGAGCCCACUACGGUUAAGUAUAAGCGUGCCCGACGCUGAGAGCGGGCUCGGGUAGGGACAGGUGCUGAAUUAGGUAUCAGGAGGGCUAAUAUCUCACCGCACACGGGCCACGUAACGCCCUGAGUAAGAGCAUCUAGCCGGGUCCACGUGCCCACUCACGUGGUGGUGCCCAUUAUUUACACCAAUAAUUCAAAUCGUAACACCGGUACGCCCUCACACUUAUUGGAAUUGGCUCUAGAAUAUAAUAGUGAAUAAUCUGUACUUGUCUAUGAUUUGUUUUUUUAUGUAAGUGUAUAUAGUGGUGUUUUUUUUAUGGUUGUUGGCUAGUGUUAUGUAUGUAUGUGCACUAUAUGCAAAUGGUAGUUCUGAUAGUAUAUGUUCAUAAUAACUAAUAUACUGAUAUCAGAAUAGCUCAAAAUUGGUCUGUAUUGUACAUAUAUUAAUACUUUAUAAGAUAUGUAUUGAAAUAUUAUUUGAGUUAAGGAAAAUUGUUACUGUAGAGUGUAGAUGAUUGAUUGAUUAUUGAAAAAAAAAUUCCUUGUGACAACCAUUAA